CCUACGGGGGGCAGCAGUGGGGAAUAUUGGACAAUGGGGGAAACCCUGAUCCAGCAAUGCCGCGUGAGUGAUGAAGGCCUUCGGGUUGUAAAGCUCUUUUAUCAGGGAAGAUGAUGACGGUACCUGAUGAAUAAGCUCCGGCUAACUUCGUGCCAGCAGCCGCGGUAAUACGAAGGGAGCUAGCGUUGUUCGGAAUUACUGGGCGUAAAGGGCGCGUAGGCGGCCUUGUAAGUUAGAUGUGAAAGCCCCGGGCUUAACCUGGGAACUGCAUUUAA
rnacentral:rRNA from 1 species